CUGGCUAAGAUUAAGGAAGUUAAUUUUUUUGUUGUUGUUUCUGCAGAUGCCAUUUCAUCUGUUUGUUUGCAGUGCUGAUAAACAAAGUGUCUCUGGAUGUCACAGUAGAGGCUGUUAUUGGUGGUUCUGUUGUCCUGCCGUGUUCUUCAACUAAACAUGAUCUUAAACUUCAAGACAUUGAUGUGUUUUGGAGAGACAAAGAUAGUGAGACUAUUUAUGAUUUUAUAAAAGGUACAGAUUUUUUAGAGUCACAGGACCCACGGUAUAAGAAUAGAGCGCAAACUUUCCCUGACGAGUAUAAGAGAGGAAAUUUCUCCAUCAAACUCAUCAAUCUCACUCAUGCUGAUGCAGGAGAAUUCAUCUGCUAUAUUACACCCUCAAAUGAACAGGAGACUGUACACCUAAUCAUCAAAGAAUCAACAGCAGAAAAUGACAACCAAUCCACUGAAGAAGCAAACGGAGUACCAAAAACACAAUUAGACUGGUGGCAGAUAUUACUGAUCUGUGUUUGCAUUCUACUUGUAUUAAUUUUGCCUAUAGCCUAUUUCAAAUGGAAGCAGAGAAAAAGAACUCCAGCUCCCAUAUAGAAGGAACAGUGGAAAACUGGAAGUUUUAUUAGGCCCAAUCCC